UGUUUUCCUAAUAGUUCUUCCUCCCAUCCCCCAGUGGGUAUAUUACGUCUCCUCUCUCUGAACCAGUAACUCAAGCAUAUAUGAUCUCUGUCUUGCAAGACAGCCAGAGAUGAUGCUAAGUCCAUAAAGCUGUGACCCAGAGCCACCGAGGCCAGGCCAACGCCCCGUGAGCAGCACACAGCCCACACACAUCAAGCUCUUCUCGUGAGUCUAAGCUGACGCCUUCAGCCGCAGUGUCUGACUCUACCGACUUGCUUACUAAAACAUGCCACCAAGGACUUCCCCCACGAUAAGGAGUAAAUUCACAGCCUUGCAGGCUGGAGUGCAGUGGUGCCAUCAUAGCUCACCGCAACGUCGACCUCGUGGGUUCAAGUGAUCCUCCCACCUUAGCCUCUCGAGUAGCUGGGACUACAAACUGUAAGCUCCUGUGUGCAGAUCGAGUGCUCGAACGCUCAGCACAUAACUGAGAUGCCAGAAGAUACUUUAGUUAAAUUACUAUAGUUCUGUAAGCUUUCUUCGCUUACUGUAAUAUGAGUACUUCUCGUAUCACUAAACUUCUGUG